rnacentral:rRNA from 1 species
AAAUUGAAGAGUUUGAUCAUGGCUCAGAUUGAACGCUGGCGGCAGGCCUAACACAUGCAAGUCGAACGGUAACAGGAAGCAGCUUGCUGCUUUGCUGACGAGUGGCGGACGGGUGAGUAAUGUCUGGGAAACUGCCUGAUGGAGGGGGAUAACUACUGGAAACGGUGGCUAAUACCGCAUAACGUCGCAAGACCAAAGAGGGGGACCUUCGGGCCUCUUGCCAUCAGAUGUGCCCAGAUGGGAUUAGCUAGUUGGUGAGGUAACGGCUCACCAAGGCGACGAUCCCUAGCUGGUCUGAGAGGAUGACCAGCCACACUGGAACUGAGACACGGUCCAGACUCCUACGGGAGGCAGCAGUGGGGAAUAUUGCACAAUGGGCGCAAGCCUGAUGCAGCCAUGCCGCGUGUAUGAAGAAGGCCUUCGGGUUGUAAAGUACUUUCAGCGGGGAGGAA